GAAUGAUAUAUAGUGGUUUUUUGGUCAAACAGUGACCCCGAGACUAGUAACCCUCCAUACACAAAACCGCCUAAAAAGUUUUGGUUUUGCAAAAUUUUGAAAAGUUCAAAAAAAUUUUUUUUUUCAAAAACUACUAAAACGUGAUAAGAACUUACUAUAGACCAUGAAAAGUGAUAUCCGAUGAUAAUUUGCAAAAGUUGGUAACUAGUAAAAAAUUUCACUUUUUUACUAGAGUCGGGUACCCGUACAUUGAACAUUUUGUAUGGAAAACAACAGUUGGUGCACCAAACUUUGUACCGCGAAUAACUUUUUUGCCCGGCAUCGGAGCGCAUGGUCGUGGAACAACUUUUUGUAGCGCGUCACAAGACGCAUCUAAUUCUGAAGAAAGAUCGAGAAAAUAUUGAAAAUUGACCGAGUUAUGGCAGGUGAAAGAAAAAGCUUAGGUCGCGAAUAACUUUUUUGCCCGACAUCGGAGCACAUGGUCGUGGAAGACUUUUAGCUUGCAUUUGUCGAGAUCUAUCCAAAUCACAAAGAAAAUCCAAAAUCGGUCGGUAAAUGACUGAGAUAUGGGCAAAAAUAGGUUGAAACGUGGCACCGGGGUUGAACGGGGUUGAAAUAGGUUGAAAUAGAGGUUUUUCGCGAAUAACUUUUGUGCCCUACGUCUGAGCACAUGGGUGUAGAAUACUUUUUGGUAGAAUUUCACGAGAUGUAACUAAAACAGAAGAAAUUUUGGAAAAAUGUUGAAAAUUCACCGAGUUACAUCGAAGAAUAGGUGCAAAUGUGAACAUUUUGUAUGGAAAACAACAGUUGGUGCACCAAACUUUGUACCGCGAAUAACUUUUUUGCCCGGCAUCGAAGCGCAUGGUCGUGGAACAACUUUUUGUAGCGCGUCACAAGACGCAUCUAAUUCUGAAGAAAGAUCGAGAAAAUGUUGAAAAUUGACCGAGUUAUGGCAGGUGAAAGAAAAAGUUUAGGUCGCGAAUAACUUUUUUGCCCGACAUCGGAGCACAUGGUCGUGGAAGACUUUUAGCUUGCAUUUGUCGAGAUCUAUCCAAAUCACAAAGAAAAUCCAAAAUCGGUCGGUAAAUGACUGAGAUAUGGGCAAAAAUAGGUUGAAACGUGCGCACCUUACUCGGUGGACACAAAUCGGUACACAAAACAGGUUUUUCGCGAAUAACUUUUGUGCCCUACGUCUGAGCACAUGGGUGUAGAAUACUUUUUGGUAGAAUUUCACGAGAUGUAACUAAAACAGAAGAAAUUUUGGAAAAAUGUUGAAAAUUCACCGAGUUACAUCGAAGAAUAGGUGCAAAUGUGAACAUUUUGUAUGGAAAACAACAGUUGGUGCACCAAACUUUGUACCGCGAAUAACUUUUUUGCCCGGCAUCGGAGCGCAUGGUCGUGGAACAACUUUUUGUAGCGCGUCACGAGACGCAUCUAAUUCUGAAGAAAGAUCGAGAAAAUGUUGAAAAUUGACCGAGUUAUGGCAGGUGAAAGAAAAAGUUUAGGUCGCGAAUAACUUUUUUGCCCGACAUCGGAGCACAUGGUCGUGGAAGACUUUUAGCUUGCAUUUGUCGAGAUCUAUCCAAAUCACAAAGAAAAUCCAAAAUCGGUCGGUAAAUGACUGAGAUAUGGGCAAAAAUAGGUUGAAACGUGCGCACCUUACUCGGUGGACACAAAUCGGUACACAAAACAGGUUUUUCGCGAAUAACUUUUGUGCCCUACGUCUGAGCACAUGGGUGUAGAAUACUUUUUGGUAGAAUUUCACGAGAUGUAACUAAAACAGAAGAAAUUUUGGAAAAAUGUUGAAAAUUCACCGAGUUACAUCGAAGAAUAGGUGCAAAUGUGAACAUUUUGUAUGGAAGACAACACUUGGUGCACCAAACUUUGUACCGCGAAUAACUUUUUUGCCCGGCAUCGGAGCGCAUGGUCGUGGAACAACUUUUUGUAGCGCGUCGCGAGACGCAUCUAAUUCUGAAAAAAGAUCGAGAAAAUGUUGAAAAUUGACCGAGUUAUGGCAGGUGAAAGAAAAAGCUUAGGUCGCGAAUAACUUUUUUGCCCGACAUCGGAGCACAUGGUCGUGGAAGACUUUUAGCUUGCAUUUGUCGAGAUCUAUCCAAAUCACAAAGAAAAUCCAAAUCGGUCGGUAAAUGACUGAGAUAUGGGCAAAAAUAGGUUGAAACGUGCGCACCUUACUCGGUGGACACAAAUCGGUACACAAAACAGGUUUUUCGCGAAUAACUUUUGUGCCCUACGUCUGAGCACAUGGGUGUAGAAUACUUUUUGGUAGAAUUUCACGAGAUGUAACUAAAACAGAAGAAAUUUUGGAAAAAUGUUGAAAAUUCACCGAGUUACAUCGAAGAAUAGGUGCAAAUGUGAACAUUUUGUAUGGAAAACAACACUUGGUGCACCAAACUUUGUACCGCGAAUAACUUUUUUGCCCGGCAUCAAAGCGCAUGGUCGUGGAACAACUUUUUGUAGCGCGUCACGAGACGCAUCUAAUUCUGAAGAAAGAUCGAGAAAAUGUUGAAAAUUGACCGAGUUAUGGCAGGUGAAAGAAAAAGCUUAGGUCGCGAAUAACUUUUUUGCCCGACAUCGGAGCACAUGGUCGUGGAAGACUUUUAGCUUGCAUUUGUCGAGAUCUAUCCAAAUCACAAAGAAAAUCUAAAAUUGGUCGGUAAAUGACUGAGAUAUGGGCAAAAAUAGGUUGAAACGUGCGCACCUUACUCGGUGGACACAAAUCGGUACACAAAACAGGUUUUUCGCGAAUAACUUUUGUGCCCUACGUCUGAGCACAUAGGUGUGGAAUACUUUUUGGUAGAAUUUCACGAGAUGUAACUAAAACAGAAGAAAUUUUGGAAAAAUGUUGAAAAUUCACCGAGUUACAUCGAAGAAUAGGUGCAAAUGUGAACAUUUUGUAUGGAAAACAACACUUGGUGCACCAAACUUUGUACCGCGAAUAACUUUUUUGCCCGGCAUCGGAGCGCAUGGUCGUGGAACAACUUUUUGUAGCGCGUCACGAGACGCAUCUAAUUCUGAAGAAAGAUCGAGAAAAUGUUGAAAAUUGGCCGAGUUAUGGCAGGUGAAAGAAAAAGCUUAGGUCGCGAAUAACUUUUUUGCCCGACAUCGGAGCACAUGGUCGUGGAAGACUUUUAGCUUGCAUUUGUCGAGAUCUAUCCAAAUCACAAAGAAAAUCCAAAAUCGGUCGGUAAAUGACUGAGAUAUGGGCAAAAAUAGGUUGAAACGUGGCACCGGGGUUGAACGGGGUUGAAAUAGGCACCUUACUCGGUGGACACAAAUCGGUACACAAAACAGGUUUUUCGCGAAUAACUUUUGUGCCCUACGUCUGAGCACAUGGGUGUAGAAUACUUUUUGGUAGAAUUUCACGAGAUGUAACUAAAACAGAAGAAAUUUUGGAAAAAUGUUGAAAAUUCACCGAGUUACAUCGAAGAAUAGGUGCAAAUGUGAACAUUUUGUAUGGAAAACAACACUUGGUGCACCAAACUUUGUACCGCGAAUAACUUUUUUGCCCGGCAUCGGAGCGCAUGGUCGUGGAACAACUUUUUGUAGCGCGUCACGAGACGCAUCUAAUUCUGAAGAAAGAUCGAGAAAAUGUUGAAAAUUGGCCGAGUUAUGGCAGGUGAAAGAAAAAGCUUAGGUCGCGAAUAACUUUUUUGCCCGACAUCGGAGCACAUGGUCGUGGAAGACUUUUAGCUUGCAUUUGUCGAGAUCUAUCCAAAUCACAAAGAAAAUCCAAAAUCGGUCGGUAAAUGACUGAGAUAUGGGCAAAAAUAGGUUGAAACGUGGCACCGGGGUUGAACGGGGUUGAAAUAGGCACCUUACUCGGUGGACACAAAUCGGUACACAAAACAGGUUUUUCGCGAAUAACUUUUGUGCCCUACGUCUGAGCACAUGGGUGUAGAAUACUUUUUGGUAGAAUUUCACGAGAUGUAACUAAAACAGAAGAAAUUUUGGAAAAAUGUUGAAAAUUCACCGAGUUACAUCGAAGAAUAGGUGCAAAUGUGAACAUUUUGUAUGGAAAACAACACUUGGUGCACCAAACUUUGUACCGCGAAUAACUUUUUUGCCCGGCAUCGGAGCGCAUGGUCGUGGAACAACUUUUUGUAGCGCGUCACGAGACGCAUCUAAUUCUGAAGAAAGAUCGAGAAAAUGUUGAAAAUUGGCCGAGUUAUGGCAGGUGAAAGAAAAAGCUUAGGUCGCGAAUAACUUUUUUGCCCGACAUCGGAGCACAUGGUCGUGGAAGACUUUUAGCUUGCAUUUGUCGAGAUCUAUCCAAAUCACAAAGAAAAUCCAAAAUCGGUCGGUAAAUGACUGAGAUAUGGGCAAAAAUAGGUUGAAACGUGGCACCGGGGUUGAACGGGGUUGAAAUAGGCACCUUACUCGGUGGACACAAAUCGGUACACAAAACAGGUUUUUCGCGAAUAACUUUUGUGCCCUACGUCUGAGCACAUGGGUGUAGAAUACUUUUUGGUAGAAUUUCACGAGAUGUAACUAAAACAGAAGAAAUUUUGGAAAAAUGUUGAAAAUUCACCGAGUUACAUCGAAGAAUAGGUGCAAAUGUGAACAUUUUGUAUGGAAAACAACACUUGGUGCACCAAACUUUGUACCGCGAAUAACUUUUUUGCCCGGCAUCGGAGCGCAUGGUCGUGGAACAACUUUUUGUAGCGCGUCACAAGACGCAUCUAAUUCUGAAGAAAGAUCGAGAAAAUGUUGAAAAUUGGCCGAGUUAUGGCAGGUGAAAGAAAAAGUUUAGGUCGCGAAUAACUUUUUUGCCCGACAUCGGAGCACAUGGUCGUGGAAGACUUUUAGCUUGCAUUUAUCGAGAUCUAUCCAAAUCACAAAGAAAA